rnacentral:rRNA from 1 species
CUAGUUCGGAUUGUAGGCUGAAACUCGCCUACAUGAAGCUGGAAUUGCUAGUAAUCACAGGUCAGCAUACUGUGGUGAAUACGUUCCCGGGCCUUGUACACACCGCCCGUCACACCAUGAGAGUUGAGAAUACCCGAAGCCCAUGUCAAAGUGGUCGAAGGUAGGCUUGAUGAUUGGGGUGAAGUCGUAACAAGGUAUC